AAAUUUGAAAUCUGGCGCAAGCCCGAGUUGUAAUUUGUAGAGGAUGCUUCUGGCCAGCGGCCGUUCUAAGUUCCUUGGAACAGGACGUCAUAGAGGGUGAGAAUCCCGUAUGUGACCGGCGCGCAGCCUUUACGUAGCUCCUUCGACGAGUCGAGUUGUUUGGGAAUGCAGCUCUAAAUGGGAGGUAAAUUUCUUCUAAAGCUAAAUACCGGCCAGAGACCGAUAGCGCACAAGUAGAGUGAUCGAAAGAUGAAAAGCACUUUGGAAAGAGAGUUAAAAAGCACGUGAAAUUGUUGAAAGGGAAGCGCUUGCAACCAGACUUCGUAGCGAUGUUCCGCCGGUCUUCUGACCGGUCUACUCAUCGUCGCGAGGCCAACAUCGUCUAGGACCGCUGGAUAAGACCUAAGGAAUGUAGCUUCCCUCGGGAAGUGUUAUAGCCUGUGGUGAUGCAGCGCGUCUCGGGCGAGGUCCGCGCUUCGGCAAGGAUGUUGGCGUAAUGGUUGUCAGCGGCCCGUCUUGAAACACGGACCAAGGAGUCUAACAUCUAUGCGAGUGUUCGGGUGUCAAACCCCUACGCGUAAUGAAAGUGAACGGAGGUGGGAAGCGCAAGCUGCACCAUCGACCGAUCCUGAUGUCCUCGGAUGGAUUUGAGUAAGAGCAUAGCUGUUGGGACCCGAAAGAUGGUGAACUAUGCCUGAAUAGGGUGAAGCCAGAGGAAACUCUGG
rnacentral:rRNA from 1 species